ACCGAAUAGAUACCCAGGUAGUCCACGCCCUAAACUAUGCGAACUGGAUGUUGGGUACAUUACGGUACUCAGUGUCGAAAGCUAAACGCGUUAANGUUCGCCGCCUGGGGAGUACGGUCGCAAGACUGAAACUCAAAGGAAUUGACGGGGGCCCGCACAAGCGGUGGAGUAUGUGGCUUAAUUCGAUGCAACGCGAAGAACCUUACCUGGCCUUGACAUCUGUCGAAUCCUGCAGAGAUGCGGGAGUGCCGCAAGGAACGACAAGACAGGUGCUGCAUGGCUGUCGUCAGCUCGUGUCGUGAGAUGUUGGGUUAAGUCCCGCAACGAGCGCAACCCUUGUCCCUACNGUUGCCAGCACAUCAUGGUGGGAACUCUAGGGAGACUGCCGGUGACAAACCGGAGGAAGGUGGGGAUGACGUCAAGUCCUCA
rnacentral:rRNA from 1 species